GAUGAACGCUGGCGGCGUGCCUAAUACAUGCAAGUCGAGCGAACGGACGAGAAGCUUGCUUCUCUGAUGUUAGCGGCGGACGGGUGAGUAACACGUGGAUAACCUACCUAUAAGACUGGAUAACUUCGGGAAACCGGAGCUAAUACCGGAUAAUAUUUUGAACCGCAUGGUUCAAAAGUGAAAGACGGUCUUGCUGUCACUUAUAGAUGGAUCCGCGCUGCAUUAGCUAGUUGGUAAGGUAACGGCUUACCAAGGCAACGAUGCAUAGCCGACCUGAGAGGGUGAUCGGCCACACUGGAACUGAGACACGGUCCAGACUCCUACGGGAGGCAGCAGUAGGGAAUCUUCCGCAAUGGGCGAAAGCCUGACGGAGCAACGCCGCGUGAGUGAUGAAGGUCUUCGGAUCGUAAAACUCUGUUAUUAGGGAAGAACAUAUGUGUAAGUAACUGUGCACAUCUUGACGGUACCUAAUCAGAAAGCCACGGCUAACUACGUG
rnacentral:rRNA from 1 species